AAGGGGCAGCCGCACACUUUCGGAGUGCCUCGCGGUCCCGUGGCCGGUCCGGGCCUCCUGGCUCACGUUCCAGCUUGCGGAGCUUUGGGACACAUCUUUCCUAGUCAGUUGCGCUCGUUCCUAUGGCAAAAGAGAACUUCAGCUUCGGUUUUCCAGCUCCCAAACAGUUAAGUGACUUCCUGCAAACGCUACAGUCCCAGCAACCAGCCUUCCAAUCAAAAUGAAUAAACCAGCAGACCAAUUCAGAGCCCAUUUCAGUGGUGCAGGUGAGAGGUGUUAGAGACCUGGACAAGGUGGUGGCAGAUGAAGAUGGAGAGAAGAGAGAUAGGAUCUCGCUAUGUUGCCCAGGCUGACCUCCUGCCUCAUGCAUCCCUCACCAAGCUUAACAGGCAAUCAUUCACCCGCUGGGACACAGGACCUCAAGGAUCUUGGCUUUUUGUCAUCACUGCACAUGGAGACAUGGUGCUUAGCAGCAAGGUAAAUAUUGUCAUACUGCGUAUGUGAGAGGCAAGAAUAAGUAAGUCAGGACAUCCUUAGAAAAGUUUAUCUCUGGAUCCCCACUUUCCUUACCAAUAGACUAAUAGGAAGUCAUGAAUUUCCCAGGUUUUUACCAAAUCAAAAGAUUUUCAUGACACUGUAUAAGCUGGAAAGUAGUUGAGGGUCAGUAAAUAUCGAAUGAAUAGUUUCGAAGGUGAACAUGCACUCCUGAUUUUUGGGUUAGAUUCUUGAACUUGCCCCUCCUGACUUUAUUAUCCUGUCCAUCAAGGUUUGCUUGGAGUUACUUGAACAAGCCAGGCUGUUCCACACCCCAGUACCUUUGCAUAUGCUGCUCUUGGUGCCUGGAUUGGAAUGCUUUCCAUUAAUCCAAGUGGGCUGAGGACAUCUGAUCUUUCGACACCUGGCACCAGGAUUGUCUUUCAUCUCCUUUAUGAAGUUUUUAUUGACUGACUCUCCCACACCCAGAAUGAGCCACUCUAUCCUGUCCAAAUUUGAUUGCACAUAUCUAUUUAAUAAGAUGUGACUGGGACCUUUGGGAAGUCCCUGCUCACACCCUGUACCCACGUGGAAGCCAUAAUCAAUGCUUCACUGCAGCCCACUUGCCCCCUUGCUACCUCUCAAGCCACCCCGAAAGCAUUUCAGCUAUGUGGAUUUGACUGAAAUGCUCACAAGGGAGAAAAGUGGAGGGCUUACACUGAACACCAUAUGGCCAAACUUUAUACAAAUCCCCGUUAAAAAUCUUCCUUCAUUCCCAAAGCCUUUUCUCCCACUGCCAGCUGCCUUAUCUCCCCUAUCCUUUCCAAUCCUCCUCUCUCCACUCUCCUCCGGCUGCACUGGCUCCAGCCUCCUUCCACCCCUGGAUUCUUCACCACUACCUCAAUCCCAUUUAGCAAUUUAGUGCACUCACCCUUUCUCCUUCAUUAUCUGGCAUGCUUGAAGCUUUAGGUUAUGUUCAUCAGAUCUCUUUGAGAUCAAUCCCUCUUAAAAGACAAGGGUAUUGUAAAUAGGCAACACAUAUAUUCUCCUCCUGCUAGAGACUGGAGCAACUUGAGGGCAAGAAUCAAGCCUCAUAUACCUUUGCAUCUCUAAUGCAAAAUAUUUAAAAUGUUUGUGAAAUGAAGAAAGAAAUAAAAGAAUGUAGCCACCUAUUAGAAUCCAUAAAGUUCUACUCUAAUCAUGGUUUUCUCCCGUUUGAACAUUUUCUACGUCUUCUCAAUUAAUGCCUUGGCCUCAACUGCCAUUUCUCCUUGACUCCAGCACUCUGCUCAGCAAUGAUGGACCUUCUUUCCCUUAA